CUGGACUAAGGAAGCCGAGAAGGUGGUUCUGCGAAACGAACUGGAUUAGGUGGCCGGGUAUGGGCGCCCUCUUAGGAAAGAACGUCUAUAAAUACAGAAACAUGGCAUUGCCACGAUUGUGUUUCUUCUCGCUUCCGGAAUGUUACCAUUUCAGCGGCCGUGGUUCUGUCUCCGAAGUCACUCCCUGGCUGGGAGAGGUGAGUGAAAUGAUAAGGACGUAAAUCCCUUCUUUCUAACGAAAGCCACUACGGCAAAAGACUAAAUAAAUAGACAGUCUGAA